rnacentral:lncRNA from 1 species
UAAAUACAUGAACUUAUAAGAUCACCUUUCCAAGAUAUCUCAUACCACGACACAUCCCGACACCCGCACAAAACCGUAUCACUCUCCAAACCACCUUCACGUUGCCGAAGUUCAGUCGCAGUCACCGGAGAAACCCGCAAGACGCCAUAACCAUCGGAGACCGAGAAGACGACGGAGAUACCCUCAUCGGAGAUAUACGGGUUGCCACGGACCGUUCCUGCCAACUGCCGAGUUCGAAACGUCGGUAGAAUUACUGCAACUUCGCCGGAGAUAAAGAAGACGUCGCCGGGAAGCUCAAGUAUUGCCGGAGGUCGGAACCGACGCCGGAGACGACCGAAGCCACGACGAGAAUCACACAUCGUCAUUCGUAUUUGAAGAUCUAGGAUAACCGUUUCGUUCGUCCCCUUGGGUUCUCAAUCUUAUUCGCGCUUACCUACAAGAAAUUCUUAUACGCAAUCAAUGCUAUUUUUAUGCGUUGUAUUCAUGGGUUUGAUCAUAUUGUUAAUCGUUGAGGUGAUACUUCAAGAUGAAACGCGAUUUAGGGUGGACUAGAUACACACCUAGAUUAAUCUAUCUUUUAUUGUUAUGUUUUGUUAUGAAACAAUGUUGUUAUUUCUAUUUGAACCUUGUAUGACGUUUAGUAUUGAAAUGAAAUUUGAAUUA